AUCAAUUCUGAUGGCUAUCUCCACCCAUGUCCUUUCUUUCUCUUCUUCUUCUUCCUUCUCUGCAUCCUUCUUUUCUUGUUCCAAGGCUUCUUCUUAUUCCAUUUUCAAGCUUCUUUUUAAAUCAUUGUCCUACACCAUUCAUUCUUCUUAUUUCGAAGUGGGCUCUUCCCCUGAAUCCUUCAAUUUCAGGCUAUUUCCAUUGCACCUCUUUUUGAAUUUUUAAUCUUCAAUAUGGUCGCCAGCAAGGUGUUUGCAGAAAUGUUUCUACAAUUGAACUAACAUAACUGUGAAAAAAAUUAUUGUUGUUGUUGUCAGGAAGGCUGAAAUUUCAUCCAUGUCUCUGUUUGCAUUCUCAAUGAAUGAAUCCAGCAACCAACCCAUCAAGUGGCAAAGGGUAUUGCUCAAAGUCAGUGGAGAAGCUCUUGCCGGAGAUCACUCCUAGAAUAUUGACCCCAAGAUAACUAUGGCUAUUGCAAGGGAGGUAGCAGCUGUGACUCGUCUUGGAAUUGAGCUUGAAAUAGUAGUUGGUGGGGUAAUAUCUUCCAUGGAUCAUCUUGGGCUGGAUGCAGUGGCCUGGACCGGUCA